AAUUUCCUCUUUUGUUAGUCAUAGUCCAACAAUUUUUUUAUAAGGGGGCGGUCAGCAAUUUGUUCUUUCUUUUUCUGAUUCUUUAUUGUGAUCGUUUUUCUAUGUUUUUUUGACUCAACAAAACAUGAAUAUUGGUUCCAAUUUUCCUAUUUUUCCAACAGUUUCGAUUUCACUUGACAACGAAAAUUCCUCCUAAUUAUUGUUUUCCUUUUUCAGUUUUACAUUGCAUACUGUAUUCCUUCAUUCUUUUUUGGUUUGAUGCUUGUGUCUUCUUUUUCCA
ensembl:ncRNA C45B2.18 ncRNA